GUGAAAUGCGUAGAUAUCCGGAGGAACACCAAAGGCGAAGGCAAUGUCCUGGCUGUUACCUGACGCUGAGGGGCGAAAGCUAGGGGAGCGAACGGGAUUAGAUACCCCGGUAGUCCUAGCUGUAAACGAUGACCACUAGACGUUCGGGGUAUCGACCCCCUGAGUGUCGCAGCUAACGCGAUAAGUGGUCCGCCUGGGGAGCACGGUCGCAAGAUUAAAACUCAAAGGAAUUGACGGGGACCCGCACAAGCAGCGGAGCGUGUGGUUUAAUUCGAUGCAACGCGAAGAACCUUACCAGGAUUUGACAUGGGCAGGACCAUCUUGGAGACAAGACUCCCUUCGGGGCCUGUUCACAGGUGCUGCAUGGCUGUCGUCAGCUCGUGCCGUGAGGUGUUGGGUUAAGUCCCGCAACGAGCGCAACCCUCAUCGGUAGUUGUAGGUAUCUACCGAGACUGCCGCGAUCAACGUGGAGGAAGGUGGGGAUGACGUCAAGUCAGCACGGCCCUUACAUCCUGGGCGACACACACGCUACAAUGGCGAGGACAAUGAGUAGCCAACCCGCGAGGGGGAGCCAACCUUUUCAAACCUCGUCUCAGUUCGAAUUGGAGGCUGCAACCCGCCUCCAUGAAGUUGGAGUUGCUAGUAACCGUGAGUCAGCACAUCACGGUGAAUACGUUCCCGGGUCUUGUACACACCGCCCGUCACACCACGAAAGUCGGCAACCCCUGAAGCCGCUGGGCUAACCCGCAAGGGAGGCAAGCGUCGAGGGUGGGGUCGGUGAUUGGGGUGAAGUCGUAACAAGGUAACCGU
rnacentral:rRNA from 1 species